rnacentral:rRNA from 1 species
GACGAACGCUGGCGGCGUGCUUAACACAUGCAAGUCGAACGGAAAGGCCCUGCUUUUGUGGGGUGCUCGAGUGGCGAACGGGUGAGUAACACGUGAGUAACCUGCCCUUGACUUUGGUAUAACUUCAGGAAACUGGGGCUAAUACCGGAUAGGAGCUCCUGCUGCAUGGUGGGGGUGGGAAGGAUUCGACGGUUGGGGAGGGACUCGCGGCUUAUCAGCUUGUUGGUGGGGUAGUGGCUUACCAAGGCUUUGACGGGUAGCCUGCCUGAGCGGGUGACAGGCCACAUUGGGACUGAGAUAAGGCCCAGACUACUCCGGGAGGCAGCAGUGCGGAAUAUUGCAUAAUGGGCGGAAGCCUGAUGCAGCAACGCCGCGUGCGGGAUGACGGCAUUCGGGUUGUAAACCGAUUUCGCCUGUGACGAAGCGUGAGUGACGGUACUGGGUAAAGAAGCACCGGCUAACUCCGUG